GCAGACACAUUCCAGCCAAUCAGCAGCAGACCCUCCCUCCCAGACCCUCCCACCUCCUGGACAGCUCACUAAGAAUGCAGCUUCACAAUGAAUGUAAAAUGGAUGCUGUCCAGGAGGUGGGAGGGUCUGGGAGGGAGUGUCUGUUGCUGAUUGGCUGGAAUGUGUCUG